GCCAGCAUAGCUCAGUUGGUUAGAGCAUGGUACGGAUAACGCCAAGGUUGCAGGUUCGAUUCCCAUAUGCAGGGCC